rnacentral:lncRNA from 1 species
GGAAGCAUACUAUUGUUACCAUAGUAAAUAACUCCUUCCUCAUGCAUGCUGCUCUAUCUCGUUCUCUUUUUCUCUUUAAUUAAUGUCAUAGCUAGAAUGAAAAUAUUAAAAAAAAACAAAAGAAUAACAUAUGGUUGUUAAGUUUAUAGCACAAAAUACCAUUUUACAACCAGCAUUAUAAUUUGGAAUCAAAAAAAACAUUCAACCCUAUUUGUAGAUCUAUCUAGCCAACAGUUAUAGUUGGAAUCGCUAAAAUUGCCGCUAAUCAUAUGAAAGUUUCUAGAAAUCAAAUUGUUAUAGAUAGAUAUACUAUGAUAAUAACCUCUUUCUUAUGGUGGGUCUUAAAUUUGCCCUCUCUCUCACUCUCUCCCAC